UAAUACGUAGGGAGCAAGCGUUAUCCGGAUUUAUUGGGCGUAAAGCGCGCGUAGGCGGUCUGUUAAGCGAGGUGUGAAAUCCGGGGGCUCAACCCGCGGCCUGCAUCUCGAACUGGCAGACUUGAGUGUGGUAGAGGAAAGUGGAAUUCCCGGUGUAGCGGUGAAAUGCGCAGAUAUCGGGAGGAACACCAGUGGCGAAGGCGGCUUUCUGGGCCACCACUGACGCUGAGGCGCGAAAGCUAGGGGAGCGAACAGG
rnacentral:rRNA from 1 species